UCACAGAAUAUAAGACAGCCGAGUUUGCCUACAAGAUUCAGAACAUCAACAACGAUCGUCAGUCAAAAUGAACGUUAAGUACUGCCUUGCGUUGCUAUCGCUGCUGUUUGCCGCUGCGAAUUCAAUUCCCGUAGGAAAUACGACCAUACCGUCAUGUUCGCCAUGGUGUGCCGGACAACCCCCACCGCCCCCCGGCGCCGUUAACUAAGCUCUGAUGUGGAUACUGUAAUCAGCUUCCCCUUUGUACAACAAGCAUGUAUUUUGUCAGUCGUUCACUUUUCGCAAUUAUUGUGGGCCAUUUGCAAAAAACAAUUAAACUUCCAUAAAGUAUACAUAUAAGCAUCUUCUGCAUACAUUUGAGAUUGGCUACUUUCAGUAAUUAGUAUAGUUUUUUAAGUCUCACACACACAAUGUGCGCGGGACUUCAUUGUCCGGGAAAUGAAAUAAAACUUUGAAUUUAGCGCUGCUGUAUCCCAGUA
rnacentral:sRNA from 1 species